rfam:Penicillium steckii strain IBT 24891 PENSTE_contig006, whole genome shotgun sequence.
GGUUCCAUAACUCAGUUGGUUAGAGUGUCAUGCUAAUAACGUGAAAGUCGAGGGUUCGACCCCCUCUGGGACCA